rnacentral:rRNA from 1 species
UACGGGGGGAGCAAGCGUUGUUCGGAUUUACUGGGCGUAAAGGGCGCGUAGGCGGCGCAACAAGUCACUUGUGAAAUCUCCGGGCUUAACCCGGAGCGGCCAAGUGAUACUGUCGUGCUAGAGUGCGGAAGGGGCUACUGGAAUUCUCGGUGUAGCGGUGAAAUGCGUAGAUAUCGGGAGGAACACCAGUGGCGAAGGCGACUACCUGGCCUGUUCUUGACGCUGAGGAGCGAAAGCCAGGGGAGCAAACGGG